rnacentral:RNase_P_RNA from 1 species
UAAGAAAGGGGAAUUAUCGCUGGCGAAGAUAUAAUUAAUAAUUAUAAUCUUUGCGGGAGGAAGGUCUGGACACCAGAGACGACCGUAGCGGGUAACGCCCGUCCAUCGCGAGGUGAGGACAAGUGCAACAGAAAGAAUGUACAGGUAAACAAUGACUUGUUUAGCAAUUAAUUGUUUGUGCUGUAGUGAAAUCAGGUAAACUCUACGGGGUGCAAACCCAAAUAGGCCAACGAUUAAAUUUUUUAAUCACCGUUUAGUCUCACGUAAGUUGGCGGGUAGGGUGCUUGAGGUUUACAGUAAUGUAAAUCCUAGAUAAAUGAUAAUUAAAAACAGAAUCCGGCCUACGCCCUCUCUUAAUUU